AGCGAACGCUGGCGGCAGGCCUAACACAUGCAAGUCGAACGAACUCUUCGGAGUUAGUGGCGGACGGGGGAGUAACACGUGGGAAGGUGCCUUUUGGUUCGGAAUAACUCAGGGAAACUUGUGCUAAUACCGAAUGAGCCAUUCGGGGGAAAGAUUUAUCGCCAUUAGAGCGGCCCGCGUCUGAUUAGAUAGUUGGAGAGGUAACGGCUCACCAAGGCGACGAUCAGUAGCUGGUCUGAGAGGAUGACCAGCCACACUGGGAAUGAGACACGGCCCAGACUCCUACGGGAGGCAGCAGUGGGGAAUCUUGCGCAAUGGGCGAGAGCCUGACGCAGCCAUGCCGCGUGAAUGAUGAAGGUCUUAGGAUUGUAAAAUUCUUUCACCGGGGACGAUAAUGACGGUACCCUGAGAAGAAGCCCCGGCUAACUUCGUG
rnacentral:rRNA from 1 species